UACGGAGGGUGCGAGCGUUGUCCGGAAUCAUUGGGCGUAAAGGGCGCGUAGGUGGCCCCUCAAGCGUGCGGUGAAAGUCAGGGGCUCAACCCCUGAUCGGCCGUGCGAACUGGGGAGCUUGAGCACUGUAGAGGCAGGCGGAAUUCCGGGUGUAGCGGUGGAAUGCGUAGAGAUCCGGAAGAACACCGGUGGCGAAGGCGGCGACCUGGUCCUUGACUGACGCUGAGGCGCGAAAGCGUGGGGAGCAAACAGG
rnacentral:rRNA from 1 species